rnacentral:rRNA from 1 species
GAUGAACGCUGGCGGCGUGCUUAACACAUGCAAGUCGAACGAUGAAGCCCAGCUUGCUGGGUGGAUUAGUGGCGAACGGGUGAGUAACACGUGAGCAACCUGCCCCUGACUCUGGGAUAAGCGCUGGAAACGGCGUCUAAUACUGGAUAUGUCCCGUCACCGCAUGGUGUGCGGGUGGAAAGAUUUUUCGGUUGGGGAUGGGCUCGCGGCCUAUCAGCUUGUUGGUGAGGUAAUGGCUCACCAAGGCGUCGACGGGUAGCCGGCCUGAGAGGGUGACCGACCACACUGGGACUGAGACACGGCCCAGACUCCUACGGGAGGCAGCAGUGGGGAAUAUUGCACAAUGGGCGGAAGCCUGAUGCAGCAACGCCGCGUGAGGGAUGACGGCCUUCGGGUUGUAAACCUCUUUUAGCAGGGAAGAAGCGAAAGUGACGGUACCUGCAGAAAAAGCACCGGCUAACUACGUG